AACAGGUACUCCCAAAGAGAAAACAAGUUCUGAGAAAAGACUGGAGUGGAUGAAAUAUGCUUGAGGGGAAUGAACAAUAAUUUUUGCUUUGGCAAAAGAUAUUACUCCAUCUGCAGCCCUCAAAAAAGAAUGGCCAAAGUGAUGCUGGAUCUCACAUGCUUUAUCUCAGGCCUUCAAAAUACCCAAAGCUUAAUGAAUUUGUUUCUAUGUGGAUAGCAUCUAUAUAUUUUGGAAGCUCGGUGAUUACAGAGGGAAUAUUUUGGCUUUCUAGCAUAAAACGUGCACAGAUUUUGAAUUUAGGGAAAUUACAACUUCAGCCAUAAACUUGUCUUCUACUAAGAAACCACAGCACUAGACCGAGAUGUAGAAACUUGGAUUUCUAUAAUUUGUUAUUUCAUACAAAAUGAAUCACUGAACAUGGCAACCACCAGUAUUGUGAGCACAUCACAAAGGCUCUGCUCUACACAGUUUUCCAGUCAAAUGAAAAAUUCAAGCAACAAGAUUCUUUGAUCCCAAUAAAUAAAAGAUA